UGAACGCUGGCGGCGUGCCCAAUACAUGCAAGUCGAGCGAACGGACGAGAAGCUUGCUUCUCUGAUGUUAGCGGCGGACGGGUGAGUAACACGUGGAUAACCUACCUAUAAGACUGGGAUAACUUCGGGAAACCGGAGCUAAUACCGGAUGAUAUUUUGAACCGCAUGGUUCACAAGUGAAAGACGGUCUUGCUGUCACUUAUAGAUGGAUCCGCGCUGCAUUAGCUAGUUGGUAAGGUAACGGCUUACCAAGGCAACGAUGCAUAGCCGACCUGAGAGGGUGAUCGGCCACACUGGAACUGAGACACGGUCCAGACUCCUACGGGAGGCAGCAGUAGGGAAUCUUCCGCAAUGGGCGAAAGCCUGACGGAGCAACGCCGCGUGAGUGAUGAAGGUCUUCGGAUCGUAAAACUCUGUUAUUAGGGAAGAACAUAUGUGUAAGUAACUGUGCACAUCUUGACGGUACCUAAUCAGAAAGCCACGGCUAACUACGUG
rnacentral:rRNA from 1 species